GACGAACGCUGGCGGCGUGCUUAACACAUGCAAGUCGAACGGAAAGGCCCUGCUUUUGUGGCGUGCUCGAGUGGCGAACGGGUGAGUAACACGUGAGUAACCUGCCCUUGACUUUGGGAUAACUUCAGGAAACUGGGGCUAAUACCGGAUAGGAGCUCCUGCUGCAUGGUGGGGGUUGGAAAGUUUCGGCGGUUGGGGAUGGACUCGCGGCUUAUCAGCUUGUUGGUGGGGUAGUGGCUUACCAAGGCUUUGACGGGUAGCCGGCCUGAGAGGGUGACCAGCCACAUUAGGACUGAGAUACGGCCCAGACUCCUACGGGAGGCAGCAGUGGGGAAUAUUGCACAAUGGGCGGAAGCCUGAUGCAGCAACGCCGCGUGCGGGAUGACGGCCUUCGGGUUGUAAACCGCUUUCGCCUGUGACGAAGCGUGAGUGACGGUAAUGGGUAAAGAAGCACCGGCUAACUACGUG
rnacentral:rRNA from 1 species